rnacentral:rRNA from 1 species
AUGGACCAUUCCAUCCCUUAUUCCCGUGGCUAUGCAUCGAAUUCGGAUGACGAAGGUCCCGAUGAACAAGUUGAUGACGAGGGGUUCACGGUGAAGGAGGCCGAAGCUUUCGAGAAGGUAUUCGGUCGGGAUCAUCGAACUACAUUGUUCAAGGAUGUUAGUCUCGCGGAUGAAGCCGUGGUAGAUGGUGGUCAAGGUAUAUCUCUUGGGGUUAGGCCAAGCUCUCACCGUGAUUUGGGAGACGACAAGAAUCGGAUUGCUAAAGGGUCUAUGUUCGAAACCUUCUUGGAAUUGAAGAUGUGGCUCAACAACUACUCGUUUACGCAUUAUCGUCCACACAAGGUGGUGAACUCGAACGUCAAUGUGUGCUACACAGUUGCAUGUGCAUGUGAAGAUGAAAUUUGUGCAUGCAAGAGCAUGGAAAGGAGGUCCCACUUGGCACGUAGUGAGUUGUCUGCCAACUCACAUGUACCGAGGCAAAAUGGUGGAUGGCAAGAUUGA